UGAGAGCGCAUUCCCAAUUAACCACAGC
rnacentral:piRNA from 1 species